rnacentral:lncRNA from 1 species
CCUCAUGUUUAAUGUCUAAAUAAAUAAAUGAAGAAUAUUUAUUUUCGCCGCUUUCAGAUCGACUUCGCCUCAAAUUGUAACAAAACCAAGAUCCAUUCUCACUUUCUCUCCCCUAAAAUUGCUGUUGUAAAGUUAAUGGCUACUGGCUGCUUCAGGUAUUUUUGAUACAGUCCUGCUGGUCUACAGAAAACGAACAAACUCCUGUUUCCCGUGACACAAAGAUGCAUCUUCACCCCUGCUCCAAGUCCAUUUCCUACCAAACGUUUACUCUUCACUCCCAGCUUUGCUCAAGGGCAAGUGUUUGUGCUGGCUGUAUCCCUUGCCUUGCUCUACCCCUGCUCUUAGCAAAUUUUCCUCUCAUUCUUUUCUCCCGCCUCUCUUUUCCAGAUGGCCCAACUCCCUGCCCUAAAGGACCAGCAGCAAGAACAGCAGUGAGCUCCAUUUGUAUUUGGAAACUGCUUCACACUUACUCCCUCAGCAUUCAGAAGAGGGCCUGCUGUCGUUUCUCAAGGUAAUCUUAUUUAAUUACAAAGAAUGUACAAAAUCUGUUUUUCUCAGUCACCACAAGCAUGAAAACCAUGCUGGAGGGGAUGUUUUGUUCAUACUCUUUAACAGCACUAACCAGCCCCCAAACCCUCCCUGUUUCGAGUCCUUUUGUGAGCUCUUGGAUUUCCUGCUUUACUUCCUGACAUUUCCACUUUCUUCUCUGCUUUUCUCCCACAGAUGCACAACCCUCUGGAAAACAAUGGGCAAAGAAAUCCCUUUGGCCACACGUGCCUUCCCUUUGGAUGGCUGCAUGGGCCUGGUGCUGGAAUGGGGCUGGUGUUAGUUCAACUAUUCAGUCGACAAGGCUUAAGUGUUUCUUAUAAUUGUCUGAAUCGAGGAUGUGGUUACACCCCCAGCUUUCAGAAGGUUUUCUCCCAUCCAGAGCAGUCCAGGGUGAAAAAAAAUCUCUACAACCAAGCUGUUACAACACUCUGAUAUUCACCAUCAAAUCUUUGAUUCACAGCCUCAUCUGUAGAUAUGAAUUCAGAAGGGCAGAGAAGUAAAUAUAUUAAAGUUGUAGCCAGGCAGGGCAAUAUAUGAGAUAUCAAAAAAAUCUCUUUGAGUUGCAUUGAAAACCUUCCCCCUGAGCACCCUGCCACCACUGAGCACUGAUGUCCAAAAUCUCCCUCAGACCUAAAUGAUAAUCUCAGAAAAUAAAGCUGUUAACAACAACAAUGAAAGCUGUGAAUCUUAGUGUUUAUUUGCAUCUGAUAUAAAGCACAAGAUUCUUCACACUUAUAUGCCCAUGUAUCUCAUAAUAAUUUGGAAUUUUCCUCCAAAAAAAAUGUAUAACAUUAAAAAUCAGGAUUCCUUUUUCUGGCCUCAAAAGCUGAGGGAGAGCACU